rnacentral:rRNA from 1 species
UACGGGGGGAGCAAGCGUUGUUCGGAUUUACUGGGCGUAAAGGGCGCGUAGGCGGCACCGCAAGUCGACUGUGAAAUCUCCGGGCUUAACUCGGAAAGGUCAGCCGAUACUGCGGGGCUAGAGUGCAGAAGGGGCAACUGGAAUUCUCGGCGUAGCGGUGAAAUGCGUAGAUAUCGAGAGGAACACCUGCGGCGAAGGCGGGUUGCUGGGCUGACACUGACGCUGAUGCGCGAAAGCUAGGGGAGCGAACGGG